AGUGAACGUUGGCGGCGUGGAUUAGGCAUGCAAGUCGAGCGAUCGUAGCAAUACGGGAGCGGCAAACGGGGGUAGGAAUACAUCGGAACGUACCUUUUGGUUGAGAAUAGCGUUGGGAAACUGACGGUAAUACUCAAUAAAGUCGAGAGACCAAAGGUUUACUGCCGGAAGAGCGGCCGAUGCGAUAUUAGGUAGUUGGUGGGGUAAUGGCCUACCAAGCCUGAGAUGUCUAGGGGGUGUGAGAGCAUGGCCCCCACCACUGGGACUGAGAUACUGCCCAGACACCUACGGGUGGCUGCAGUCGAGGAUCUUCGUCAAUGGGCGAAAGCCUGAACGAGCGACGCCGCGUGCGGGAUGAAGCCCUUGGGUUGUAAACCGCUGUCA
rnacentral:rRNA from 1 species